rnacentral:rRNA from 1 species
UACGUAGGGUGCAAGCGUUGUUCGGAAUUACUGGGCGUAAAGGGCUCGUAGGCGGCCAACUAAGUCGGAUGUGAAAUCCCCAGGCUUAACCUGGGAACUGCAUCCGAUACUGGAUGGCUUGAAUCCGGGAGAGGGAUGCAGAAUUCCAGGUGUAGCGGUGAAAUGCGUAGAGAUCCGGAGGAACACCAGCGGCGAAGGCGGCAUCCUGGACUGGUCCUGACACUCAUGAGCGAAAGCGUGGGGAGCGAUCCGG